rnacentral:rRNA from 1 species
UACGUAGGGCGCAAGCGUUGUCCGGAAUUAUUGGGCGUAAAGAGCUCGUAGGCGGUUUGUCGCGUCUGCUGUGAAAACGCGGGGCUCAACCCCGCGCCUGCAGUGGGUACGGGCAGACUAGAGUGUGGUAGGGGAGACUGGAAUUCCUGGUGUAGCGGUGGAAUGCGCAGAUAUCAGGAGGAACACCGAUGGCGAAGGCAGGUCUCUGGGCCACUACUGACGCUGAGGAGCGAAAGCAUGGGGAGCGAACAGGAUUAGAAACCCCCGUAGUCC